rnacentral:rRNA from 1 species
GAUGAACGCUGACAGAAUGCUUAACACAUGCAAGUCUUUGGUGAAGCUGUGCUUGCACAGCCUAGCCAAGGCGGACGGGUGAGUAACGCGUAAGGAACUUGCCCUGCAGUCAGGGAUAACAGACGGAAACGACUGAUAAGACCUGGUAAAGUCAGGCGGACUCAUGUCCAGCCUGAUGAAAAGAGAUGCUGCAGGAGAGCCUUGCGUCCUAUUAGCUUGUUGGUGGGGUAACGGCCCACCAAGGCAAUGAUAGGUAGCCGGCCUGAGAGGGUGGACGGCCACAAGGGGACUGAGAUACGGCCCUUACUCCUACGGGAGGCGGCAGUGGGGAAUAUUGGACAAUGGGGGCAACCCUGAUCCAGCAAUUCUGUGUGCACGAUGAAGGUUUUCGGAUUGUAAAGUGCUUUCAGCAGGGAAGAAAAAAAUGACGGUACCUGCAGAAGAAGCGACGGCUAAAUACGUG